UUGCUUCUUUGCUGACGAGUGGCGAACGGGUGAGUAAUGUCUGGGAAACUGCCUGAUGGAGGGGGAUAACUACUGGAAACGGUAGCUAAUACCGCAUAACGUCGCAAGACCAAAGAGGGGGACCUUCGGGCCUCUUGCCAUCGGAUGUGCCCAGAUGGGAUUAGCUUGUUGGUGGGGUAACGGCUCACCAAGGCGACGAUCCCUAGCUGGUCUGAGAGGAUGACCAGCCACACUGGAACUGAGACACGGUCCAGACUCCUACGGGAGGCAGCAGUGGGGAAUAUUGCACAAUGGGCGCAAGCCUGAUGCAGCCAUGCCGCGUGUAUGAAGAAGGCCUUCGGGUUGUAAAGUACUUUCAGCGGGGAGGAAGGGAGUAAAGUUAAUACCUUUGCUCAUUGACGUUACCCGCAGAAGAAGCACCGGCUAACUCCGUGCCAGCAGCCGCGGUAAUACGGAGGGUGCAAGCGUUAAUCGGAAUUACUGGGCGUAAAGCGCACGCAGGCGGUUUGUUAAGUCAGAUGUGAAAUCCCCGGGCUCAACCUGGGAACUGCAUCUGAUACUGGCAAGCUUGAGUCUCGUAGAGGGGGGUAGAAUUCCAGGUGUAGCGGUGAAAUGCGUAGAGAUCUGGAGGAAUACCGGUGGCGAAGGCGGCCCCCUGGACGAAGACUGACGCUCAGGUGCGAAAGCGUGGGGAGCAAAC
rnacentral:rRNA from 1 species